ACUUUUUUCCACACUAUAAAAUGAUCAACAAAUUCCUAUUUCUAGAUUCAUAAAAGAGAAAAUAUGGCUAAAGGUUAUAUAUUUAUUUAUGCUAUGGUUAUCAUUUUUUCCAUAUUUAUUUCUAUAACAAAUUGCAGCCUACACUUAUGCGAAAAAACUGAGGAUUGUCACGAUUUGGUCUGUUUCCCACCUAAAGUUCUUAAUUGCAGCUUCAAUAUUGUGGAAGGUUUAAAGUCGAUAUUGGGAUAUGGGGUUUGUGAAUGUACAUAAAUACCUUAAUUAGUGGCUUAUGAAUGUGUGUAGAAACCAUAAAAUAAUUUCUUUCAAAAUAAUCUUUAAAGAGCAUUCUAGAGUCAUUCUUUAGUAAUAUCCUUAAAAUUAAAUAAGUGGUUUGUACCCAAAAAGAAUAAAAAUAAGUGGUUUCUUAACUAGUGCCACAUAUAUAGAUACUAGUUAGCAUUUUUCAUUAAUUAUGCUAUUUUUAACCAUAUAAUAAUGUUGGUUCUUUUAUGAUUUAUUUCACACAUAUUUUAAUUUUCCUGA